rnacentral:ncRNA from 1 species
CCAAACUCGGUGACUAAAAGAGUAGUCUUAAUAAUGGUUUUAGCGAGCUGGCGUUGGUGGAAGGCUGGUAAUCUAGUUAGGAUGAAGCGCAUUUAUGAGAGGAAAGUGGGAAAUAGUAGUAUCGCUUUCGGGUAAUCACCCUUAACGAUGAAAGAGAUCAUAGGGUCAACUUAUGAUAAAUAGAGUGGUAACGCGGUUAAAUCGUCUCUUGU